rnacentral:sRNA from 1 species
GUGGCUGCCUCAGAACCUCGAGGAUCGACAUGGACGCUCUCGAGGACUACGUUUGGCCGCGGGCAACCUCGGAGCUUAUACUCCUCCCAGUGACGGGUCUGGAGUGCGUGGGGGACCGGCUGUUGGCGGGUGAGGGUCCCGAUGUCCUGGUGUACAGCUUGGACUUUGGUGGGCAUCUGCGGAUGAUAAAGCGAGUGCAGAACCUGCUUGGCCACUAUCUUAUCCAUGGCUUCCGGGUACGGCCAGAGCCUAAUGGAGACCUUGACUUGGAGGCCAUGGUGGCUGUGUUUGGAAGCAAGGGACUCCGAGUUGUGAAAAUUAGCUGGGGACAGGGCCACUUCCGGGAGCUUUGGCGCUCUGGCCUGUGGAACAUGUCUGACUGGAUUUGGGAUGCACGCUGGCUUGAGGGAAAUAUAGCCUUGGCCCUGGGCCACAACUCAGUGGUGCUAUAUGACCCUGUAGUAGGGUGCAUCCUGCAAGAGGUGCCCUGCACAGACAGGUGCACCCUCUCUUCAGCUUGCCUGAUUGGAUACGCCUGGAAGGAGCUGACCAUAGUGGCAGGUGCUGUUUCCAACCAGCUCUUGGUCUGGUACCCAGCAACUGCCUUAGCAGACAACAAACCUGUAGCACCUGACCGACGAAUCAGUGGGCAUGUGGGCAUCAUCUUCAGCAUGUCAUACCUGGAAAGCAAGGGAUUGCUGGCUACAGCUUCAGAAGACCGAAGCGUUCGUAUCUGGAAGGUGGGCGACCUGCGAGUGCCUGGGGGUCGGGUGCAGAAUAUUGGGCACUGCUUUGGGCACAGCGCCCGUGUGUGGCAGGUCAAGCUUCUAGAGAAUUACCUUAUCAGUGCAGGAGAGGAUUGUGUCUGCUUGGUGUGGAGCCAUGAAGGUGAGAUCCUCCAGGCCUUUCGGGGACACCAGGGACGUGGGAUCCGGGCCAUAGCUGCCCAUGAGAGGCAGGCCUGGGUGAUCACUGGGGGUGAUGACUCAGGCAUUCGGCUGUGGCACUUGGUAGGGCGUGGGUACCGGGGAUUGGGGGUCUCGGCUCUCUGCUUCAAGUCCCGUAGUAGGCCAGGUACACUCAAGGCUGUGACUCUGGCUGGCUCUUGGCGACUGCUGGCAGUGACUGAUACAGGGGCCCUGUAUCUCUAUGACGUCGAGGUCAAGUGCUGGGAGCAGCUGCUAGAGGAUAAACAUUUCCAGUCCUACUGCCUGCUGGAGGCAGCUCCUGGUCCCGAGGGCUUCGGAUUGUGUGCUAUGGCCAAUGGGGAAGGUCGUGUCAAGGUUGUCCCCAUCAACACUCCAACUGCUGCUGUGGACCAGACCCUGUUUCCUGGGAAGGUGCACAGCUUGAGCUGGGCCCUGCGUGGUUAUGAGGAGCUCCUGUUGCUGGCAUCGGGCCCUGGCGGGGUAGUAGCUUGCCUAGAGAUCUCAGCCGCACCCUCUGGCAAGGCCAUCUUUGUCAAGGAACGUUGUCGGUACCUGCUGCCCCCAAGCAAGCAGAGAUGGCACACAUGCAGUGCCUUCCUACCCCCAGGUGACUUCCUGGUGUGUGGUGACCGCCGGGGCUCUGUGCUGCUAUUCCCCUCCAGACCAGGUCUGCUCAAGGACCCUGGGGUGGGAGGCAAGGCUGGGGCUGGUGCUGGGGCACCUGUAGUGGGUAGUGGUAGUAGUGGGGGUGGGAAUGCUUUCACUGGGUUGGGCCCAGUGUCUACCCUGCCCUCUCUGCACGGGAAGCAGGGUGUGACCUCAGUCACAUGCCAUGGUGGCUUUGUGUAUACCACAGGGCGUGAUGGCGCCUACUACCAGCUGUUUGUACGAGACGGCCAGCUCCAGCCAGUCCUAAGGCAGAAGUCCUGUCGAGGCAUGAACUGGCUAGCUGGGCUCCGUAUAGUGCCCGAUGGGAGCAUGGUUAUCCUGGGUUUCCAUGCCAAUGAGUUUGUGGUGUGGAACCCUCGGUCACACGAGAAGCUGCACAUCGUCAACUGUGGUGGAGGGCACCGUUCGUGGGCAUUCUCUGAUACUGAGGCAGCCAUGGCCUUUGCUUACCUCAAGGAUGGGGAUGUCAUGCUGUACAGGGCUCUGGGUGGCUGCACCCGGCCACACGUGAUUCUCCGGGAGGGUCUGCAUGGCCGUGAGAUCACUUGUGUAAAGCGUGUGGGCACCAUUACCCUGGGGCCUGAAUAUGGAGUGCCCAGCUUCAUGCAGCCUGAUGACCUGGAGCCUGGCAGUGAGGGGCCCGACUUGACUGACAUUGUGAUCACAUGUAGUGAGGACACUACUGUCUGUGUCCUAGCACUCCCUACAACCACAGGCUCAGCCCACGCACUCACAGCUGUUUGUAACCAUAUCUCCUCGGUACGUGCUGUGGCUGUGUGGGGCAUUGGCACCCCAGGUGGCCCUCAGGAUCCUCAGCCAGGCCUGACUGCCCAUGUGGUGUCUGCCGGGGGGCGGGCUGAGAUGCACUGCUUCAGCAUCAUGGUUACUCCGGACCCCAGCACCCCAAGCCGCCUCGCCUGCCAUGUCAUGCACCUUUCGUCCCACCGGCUAGAUGAGUAUUGGGACCGGCAACGCAAUCGGCAUCGGAUGGUUAAGGUAGACCCAGAGACCAGGUAAUAUAUGCUCCUGGGCAGGGUGUGGUAUGGGUCAUGCAGAUGCUCCCAGGCUUGCAGGCUCCACCUGACAGCUGCAUGUUGUCUCUGCAGGUACAUGUCCCUUGCUGUGUGUGAACUUGACCAGCCCAGCCUUGGCCCCCUUGUGGCUGCAGCCUGUAGUGAUGGGGCCGUAAGGCUCUUUCUUUUGCAGGAUUCUGGGCGGAUUCUGCAGCUCCUUGCUGAAACCUUCCACCAUAAGCGAUGUGUCCUCAAGGUCCACUCCUUUACACACGAGGCACCCAACCAGAGGCGGAGGCUCCUCCUGUGCAGCGCAGCUACUGAUGGCAGCCUGGCCUUCUGGGAUCUCACCACCAUGCUAGACCAUGAAUCCACUGUCCUGGAGCCUCCAGUGGAUCCUGGGCUUCCCUACCGGCUUGGCACCCCCUCCCUGACUCUCCAGGCCCACAGCUGUGGUAUCAACAGCCUGCACACCUUGCCCACCCGUGAGGGCCACCAUCUCGUGGCCAGUGGCAGUGAAGAUGGAUCCCUCCAUGUCUUCGUGCUUGCUGUGGAGAUGCUACAGCUAGAAGAGGCUGUGGGAGAGGCUGGGCUGGUACCUCAGCUGCGUGUGCUAGAGGAAUACUCUGUCCCCUGUGCACAUGCUGCCCAUGUGACAGGCCUCAAGAUCCUAAGCCCAAGCAUCAUGGUCUCAGCCUCCAUUGAUCAACGGCUGACCUUCUGGCGUCUGGGGCAUGGUGAACCCACCUUCAUGAAUAGCACUGUAUUCCAUGUGCCUGAUGUGGCUGACAUGGACUGCUGGCCUGUGAGCCCUGAGUUUGGCCACCGUUGUGCCCUUGGGGGUCAGGGGCUUGAGGUUUACAACUGGUACGACUGAGGUAUCCUGCGGUGGCUGGCGUGCUGGGCAUGGGGCCUGCUCACAGACAGCAUGGAGCAGGGAUGGGCUGUUUGUGC